rnacentral:rRNA from 1 species
CUACGGGCUGCUCCAGUGAGGAAUAUUGCACAAUGGAGGAAACUCUGAUGCAGCAACGCCGCGUGGAGGAUGACGCAUUUCGGUGUGUAAACUCCUUUUAUGAGUCAAGAAAAUGACGGUAGCUCAUGAAUAAGCACCGGCUAACUCCGUGCCAGCAGCCGCGGUAAUACGGAGGGUGCAAGCGUUACUCGGAAUCACUGGGCGUAAAGGACGCGUAGGCGGGAUAUCAAGUCAGGUGUGAAAUCCUACAGCUUAACUGUAGAACUGCACUUGAAACUGGUAACCUAGAGUAUGGGAGGGGGAGAUGGAAUUAGUGGUGUAGGGGUAAAAUCCGUAGAUAUCACUAGGAAUACCUAAAGCGAAGGCGAUCUCCUGGAACAUAACUGACGCUAAGGCGUGAAAGCGUGGGGAGCAAACAGGAUUAGAUACCCUAGUAGUC